rnacentral:tRNA from 1 species
GCCUGGGUGGCUCAGUCGGUUGAGCAUCUGACUUCAGCUCAGGUCAUGAUCUCGCGGUCUGUGGGUUCAAGCCCCCGCGUCAGGCU